rnacentral:rRNA from 1 species
GAUGAACGCUGGCGGCGUGCCUAAUACAUGCAAGUCGAGCGAACAGACGAGGAGCUUGCUCCUCUGACGUUAGCGGCGGACGGGUGAGUAACACGUGGAUAACCUACCUAUAAGACAGGGAUAACUUAGGGAAACCGGAGCUAACACCGGAUAAUAUAUUGAACCGCAUGGUUCAAUAGUGAAAGACGGUUUUGCUGUCACUUCUAGAUGGAUCCGCGCCGCAUUAGCUAGUUGGUAAGGUAACGGCUUACCAAGGCAACGAUGCGUAGCCGACCUGAGAGGUGGAUCGGCCACACUGGAACUGAGCCACGGUCCAGACUCCUACGGGAGGCAGCAGUAGGGAAUCUUCCGCAAUGGGCGAAAGCCUGACGGAGCAACGCCGCGUGAGUGAUGAAGGUCUUCGGAUCGUAAAACUCUGUUAUUAGGGAAGAACAAAUGUGUAAGUAACUAUGCACGUCUUGACGGUACCUAAUCAGAAAGCCACGGCUAACUACGUG